GGGAUCAUUGCUGGAACGCGCCCCAGGCGCACCCAGAAACCCUUUGUGAACUUAUACCUUACUGUUGCCUCGGCGCACGCCGGCCCCCAGGGGCCCCUCGGAGACGAGGAGCAGGCACGCCGGCGGCCAAGUUAACUCUUGUUUUUACACUGAAACUCUGAGAAAAAAAACAAAAUGAAUCAAAACUUUCAACAACGGAUCUCUUGGUUCUGGCAUCGAUGAAGAACGCAGCGAAAUGCGAUAAGUAAUGUGAAUUGCAGAAUUCAGUGAAUCAUCGAAUCUUUGAACGCACAUUGCGCCCUCCGGUAUUCCGGAGGGCAUGCCUGUUCGAGCGUCAUUUCAACCCUCAAGCACUGCUUGGUGUUGGGGCACUGCCUUUUUCCGGAAGGCAGGCCCUGAAAUUCAGUGGCGAGCUCGCCAGGACCCCGAGCGCAGUAGUUAAACCCUCGCUUUGGAAGGCCCUGGCGGUGCCCUGCCGUUAAACCCCCAACUCUUGAAAAUUUGACCUCGGAUCAGGUAGGAAUACCCGCUGAACUUAAGCAUAUCAAUAAGCGGAGGAAAAGAAACCAACAGGGAUUGCCCUAGUAACGGCGAGUGAAGCGGCAACAGCUCAAAUUUGAAAUCUGGCCUCGGCCCGAGUUGUAAUUUGCAGAGGAUGCUUCUGGCGCGGUGCCUUCCGAGUUCCCUGGAACGGGACGCCACAGAGGGUGAGAGCCCCGUAUGGUCGGACACCAAGCCUGUGUGAAGCUCCUUCGACGAGUCGAGUAGUUUGGGAAUGCUGCUCUAAAUGGGGAGGUAAAUCUCUUCUAAAGCUAAAUACCGGCCAGAGACCGAUAGCGCACAAGUAGAGUGAUCGAAAGA
rnacentral:rRNA from 1 species